rfam:Oryza nivara chromosome 1, whole genome shotgun sequence.
AAAAAGACAAACCCUGAGUUUCCGUGUCUAACAUUUGACUGUCCGUCUUAUAUGAAAUUUUUUUAUAAUUAUUAUUUUUAUUGUUGUUAGAUGAUAAAACAUGAUUAAUACUUUAUGCGUGACUUGUCUUUUUAAUUUUUUUCAUAAUUUUUUUAAAUAAGAUGACGGUCAAACGUGGGACACGAAAAGUUAGGGUUUGUCUUUUU